CAGGCAUCCACGCUGAAGUCGCCAGGGCUCUGGGCAGGCAUCAGAGCCCACCAUCACUGUGACCAUCAAUAAACCUUCAUGAUUUAACCUGUGGAGAGGAGGGACGGGAGAAUCUUACAUUGCAGCUGUAAGAUUAAAUGCUGCUGUUGAACCCUGGACAAUUUCCUGCCACUAAUCUUUUGGUCUGACUAAUAUAGCUAGAUAUAUUACUCAGACCUUUCAGUGAUGGAAAUCAUACCUGGAUCUGAGCAGAUCUAUGUCAUCCAUGGAUAUGUGGCUGGGAAGCACGCAGCUGGCCUGCAGUGGCUAAACCUUUUAAUUCUACCUGGGGGAAUCUGAUUGAGGAAGGGAAAGACGUAAGUCAUCCACGACUGCUUCAGGGUGGCAGCUCCACUGGAGGGCUAUCUCACAAGGCGACCAGCUCUGAAGAUGGGGGGAGUGCUGAGCCAGGAGGAGGGUGCAGAGGAGGACGUGGUGGUUAAAGCACAAAUGUUUCACUCAUACCUUAACUGGCACUAUGUCCCAAAACAGGAGGGCUGCAUUUUCCCAGCACAGCGAUGACUUGACCCCGGGGAUGCUCUUGGUGGCAGGGCACCAUAGCUCGCACUGCACCCGGCGCUGAGCAGCCCGCAGAGCUGCCUCCACCACACCGCUGCUGCCAGGCUCUUCUGGGGAGCGCUGCGAAGACAAAGCUGGAGAGCACUCUGUCCUUGCUUAUGGGCUGCAAACUGUACCAUUAGGAACCAAGUACUAUGUCCUCAGUAACUGCCCACUGAGAUGUGCACGAAGUGGAACUGCCAUCUACUAGGACCAUGUCUUGGAUUUUGCAGCCAGCAAGUAUUCAUCUGCGGGGCACAAGCCAUAGAUUAUCUCUUGCAAAAUGUGCCCAGGCUGCUUUGCCAAGCUACCCUUUCCUGUGCCUUAGAGGUGAAGAAAAGAAAGGGAAUGAGUAUCCCAGUGCUGGAAGGCUGUGUUUUCCUGGGGCAAAACUAAGGUCCUCCUCUGGGGCAGGACAUGCGUGCUGCCAGAGAGACCACUGAUGCAGUCAGCAGCCAGGCCUACGGAGAGCUGGUCACUUCAACCAUCACCACGAGGUCCCAGGGGACCACUGGGAACAUGGGCUGUCCUUUUCCUGGCCACCCCAGAGAAGAUGAGGACUGGGACGUGUGCUGUGAUGCU